rnacentral:tRNA from 1 species
GCCUUCUGGUGUAAUGGUCAGCACACUGAGCCGGUAUUUCAGAGGUCCAUGGUUCGAUUCCCGGCGAAGGCC